UGUGGAGGGUCAAAACCUUUAUUUGUCUCUCCCUAUUUAUUUGUCUCUCUCAUUCCUUUGAUCUUCCCUGUUUUAGUGUUGCUCAACUUUCUGGUUUGCUUCCUGUCUUUAAGUUUGGUGUGGGUUUUUCUUUUGUUUUUCUCUUCUUGGGGAGAUUUAGUGGGAGCUCAUGGUGGCUGUCAUGCUCUAGACCUCACGGUAUAAUUAACUUGACAAUGGAGACUGAAGUAAUAUUACUUUUAGAUUCAUAUCCUAAGCAUGGUAAGAACUAACAUUGUGUACACAUCAAACUGCAAGACCGCUCAUUUACAUAUCCCCUUGACCUUCAACCUUGAGUAACACCGAUUGACUGUUAAACACAAGAGUUAUGGACUAUCAUUAAAGAAACCAUACACACAAACAACAUUUGCCAAUAUCAUAACUGGAGCUGGACAUCUGACUGAGGCCAGCGUUUGUAUGCUGGAGUACCCGCCAUAACAUUUUUACUGGAUGAAAACACAGCAAGAAAACACAUUCCUCUGCUUCCUUCUCCUUGCGCCAGACGGGCAGACUUUGCAGUGACUCCGUGUGCAACUAUCUUGAGCAGCAGUUUGAGGGACUUUGCAGGAUAAAUGCUGCACAGUGAGGCAUAGGGGAUUGUCUGCAGCAGGACGACCCCCAGUGGAUGGGCGCCAAGGGGUGUGGUGCUCCUCCAGCAGCUCUCUCAUUAGGAUUUCUCUACUUUUGGUAGGUAAUUUCUUUACCUAUGAGGGAGUGGGGGGGACGAGUGAAGGGAGAGGAUGAUGAGGGAAUGGGUAGGUGGGUGAGAUACUGUCACUAUAAUUGCAUAAUGGAGCUGUAUGUGAUUUGUAUGUGAACUGUACAGUGGUUCUUCCUUUUACGUGAGAUGCCAUCAUCACACAGUCCUUUGUAGGUGCCCGCUAUGACUUCCUUCAUGUUGGAAAGAAAGGCUGAACUGUACUGGUUGUAGCCAAACUGACACUCAAAAAAUGGCAAAAAUGGAGGGUGGUUGAUAGUGAAAUUAAAUUUGGGUUUUGUUUUCAAGUAUAUUUUUUGUUCUCAAAUUAUUUGGGGGGGAUCAAAUGCAUAAAGUUUUGCG
ensembl:lncRNA